rnacentral:tRNA from 1 species
GGAAGUGCCAUAGCUCAGUGGUAGAGUAUCUGCUUUGCAUGCAGAAAGUCUCAGGUUCAAUCUCCAGCAUCUCCA